GUAGUCAUAUGCUUGUCUCAAAGAUUAAGCCAUGCAUGUCUAAGUACAUGCCGUAUUAAGGCGAAACCGCGAAUGGCUCAUUAAAUCAGUUACGGUUCCUUAGAUGUUGACUUGUUUACAUGGAUAACUGUGGAAAAUCUAGAGCUAAUACAUGCACAAAAGCUUUGACCUUAACGGAAAAAGCGCAUUUAUUAGACCAAGACCAAUGGGUUCCUGUAAGAGGGAUACCCUAACGGUGGUGACUCUGGAUAACUUUUCGCUAAUCGCAUGGCCUAUGAGCCGGCGAUGAAUCUUUCAAGUGUCUGCCUUAUCAACUGUCGAUGGUAGGUUAUGCGCCUACCAUGGUUGCAACGGGUAACGGGGAAU
rnacentral:rRNA from 1 species